GACGAACGCUGGCGGUGUGCUUAACACAUGCAAGUCGAACGGUAAGGCCCUUCGGGGUACACGAGUGGCGAACGGGUGAGUAACACGUGGGUGAUCUGCCCUGCACUUCGGGAUACGCCUGGGAAACUGGGUCUCAUACCGGAUAGGACCACUGCCUGCAUGGGUGGUGGUGGAAAGCUUGUGCGGUGUGGGAUGGGCCCGCGGCCUAUCAGCUUGUUGGUGGGGUGAUGGCCGACCAAGGCGACGACGGGUAGCCGGCCUGAGAGGGUGACCGGCCACACUGGGACUGAGAUACGGCCCAGACUCCUACGGGAGGCAGCAGUGGGGAAUAUUGCACAAUGGGCGCAAGCCUGAUGCAGCGACGCCGCGUGAGGGAUGACGGCCUUCGGGUUGUAAACCUCUUUCAGCACCGACGAAGCGCAAGUGACGGUAGGUGCAGAAGAAGGACCGGCCAACUACGUGCCAGCCGCCGCGGUAA
rnacentral:rRNA from 1 species